rnacentral:rRNA from 1 species
GACGAACGCUGGCGGCGUGCUUAACACAUGCAAGUCGAACGGAAAGGCCCUGCUUGCAGGGUACUCGAGUGGCGAACGGGUGAGUAACACGUGGGUGAUCUGCCCUGCACUUCGGGAUAAGCCUGGGCAACUGGGUCUAAUACCGGAUAGGAGCCAUUUUUAGUGUGAUGGUUGGAAAGUUUUUUCGGUGUAGGAUGAGCUCGCGGCCUAUCAGCUUGCUGGUGGGGUAAUGGCCUACCAAGGCGGCGACGGGUAGCCGGCCUGAGAGGGUGGACGGCCACAUUGGGACUGAGAUACGGCCCAGACGCCGACGGGAGGCAGCAGUGGGGAAUAUUGCACAAGGUGCGCAAGCCUGAUGCAGCGACGCCGCGGGGGGGAUGACGGCCUUCGGGUUGUAAACUCCUUGCGCUAGGGACGAAGCUUUUUGUGACGGUACCUAGAUAAGAAGCACCGGCUAACUACGUG